UUUUUCCUUUUGCAAUAUGUGAGAAACGACGCCUUUACUCUCUCUUUGACCUCUCCACCAUCUCAAGCUGUUGUCUGCUCAAACUUUGAAUCGAGAAAUCGAGAAAUCGAGAAAUCGAGAAAAGGGUUUCACGCUGUCGUCGGUUUCAUCGUCCUGAGAAAUCGAGAGAAGGGUCUCACGCCGUCGUCGGUUUCAUCGUUCUGAGAAAUCGAGAGAAGGGUCUCACGCCGUCGCCGGUUUCAUCGUCCUGAGAAAUCGAGAGAAGGGCCUCACCGUCUCACGCCGUCGUCAAUCUAAGAGAAGAUAUUGUCUUAAAGGAAGGUUUAUAUUGCACGCAAGGUAGUUGAGGACUUCUCUCACCAUUUACAUAACAAGAAGAUGGAGAAAGGGGUUGGUUUGAGUCUUUGAGAUUAAAGGAGGAGGAUGAAGUUGUUUCUAUCUUGUUUUUCUAUGGUUCAGUCUUGAUUUUAUGUACUUGAAGUUUUAAAUAUGUAUCAGAUUUGUACUGGUUUUCAGAUAACAAGUUAUGUACUUGAAGU